rnacentral:rRNA from 1 species
GACGUAGGGCGCGAGCGUUGUCCGGAUUUAUUGGGCGUAAAGAGCUCGUAGGCGGCUUGUCGCGUCGGCUGUGAAAACCCGCGGCUCAACUGUGGGCGGGCAGCUGAUACAGGCAGGCUGGAGUUCGGUAGGGGAGACUGGAAUUCCUGGUGUAGCGGUGAAAUGCGCAGAUAUCAGGAGGAACACCGGUGGCGAAGGCGGGUCUCUGGACAGUUCCUGACACUGAGACACGAAGGCCAGGGGAGCAAACGGG